rnacentral:lncRNA from 1 species
AUAGGAAGGGCUCCUGCUGUUGCGAGGCUUUGAUGCAUUUGAUUUGAGAAUGCGUCUUCCUGACGUGGUUAGUACACUGUCCAAAGCUGCUAAGCAAAAUGGAGAAGUUACAUUCGUGCACACUGCACUGCACUACUGGAAUGGGAAAGGGUUGUUUUUUGGUAUAUGGGCAUGAAAGCUUAUUGAUUGUAACUCUGACACUGAAAGUAAAGUGUUAACAUUGGAUGGUAACAGGUGAAUAUUAGAUAAAAUGUUUGA